UUCUACCAUCAAGAGAGAUGUUCUCCUCUCCUCCGGUGUGAUACUGCACAAAAACAUCCCUCUCGUUAAGGUUUCAUCCCAACACCGUCUGAGUUAUCUGCAUCUCUUACGGAAAUACUUGUCUUCCCUCAUUUUUUGUGGCUUGUCUUCUUCUUUCUCUUCUUUCAAUUUCCCCUCAUUUCUCUUCCUAUUAUGCUAAUUCUGGAGCCACCAAAUCACAAAUUAUCCUUCAACUACUAACCUUAUCACGAUUUCCUCUCUCUAUUGUUCCUCUUGCUCUCAUGGCUCCACCCCAACUUGCAGACACAACCUCAAAUAAAGAAAAAGUUUCCCUCUGCCUCGCGGAUUCAUCUCCUUCGUUCUUCUUUCUUUUCUUCUUUUGCUUCAAGAAAAAAAACCCAAGGCUUGGUGGGUGGGAAAGAAAAGAUUUUCCAGCUUCCUUCUUCUUCUCUGAUUCGAAAAAUGAAGAAAACUGUGUUAGGGGUUUUCAAAACUGUCAAACACAAAUCUCCACUUUUCUUCGACUUAUGAGCUUCAUUUCGAGAAGUGACAGAAGAGAAAGUUGCUAAUCUCCAUGUUGCGGUGCUAGGGAGCCAACUUUGGAAGCGUCGACGCGAGCGAUGUUUUUACCGAAAUUAAUCGCGGUACCGUAAUCGCUUGUUAAAGCUACCGUUAAGGCUUUGCCCUCAGAUGAGAACCAGAAUCAUCCUACCAGUUAGUAUCCUAGAGAUGAGAAAGUACUUAGACAUACAUGACCAAAGCUGUGUUAGGAGAAUUUUGCAGAGAGCGUGGAGAUCACUCGGGUUGUAUAGUUUUUUUUGUAGCAUGAUCAGAUUAGAUGGUUGUAUAGGGGCUAGAUGUCUUUCUUUUGUGGAUGUAUUUAUUUCGAUUUGGAAGGUUGUACCUAUACCUCAUAUUGUCAGCUUGACUUUUAUUUUGAUGGAUCCUUGUACCAUUUUUGAUGCGGCGUGGGGAAUUUAAAAUUCUUGGGGUAGUGCUUUUGUACGGUUGUCUGCCGAGAAUACCCAAGGAGUAUGAGCUUUGUCAGAUAGGUUUCAUAGCCCCGGUAUACUUUUGUUGUUUAAAUACUUUAGAUUUUUGUUUCAAAAACUAUUUUCGCUGCCUGUAAAUAUUUUUGACUUUUG